rnacentral:rRNA from 1 species
AUUGAACGCUGGCGGCAUGCCUUACACAUGCAAGUCGAACGGCAGCGCGGGAGCAAUCCUGGCGGCGAGUGGCGAACGGGUGAGUAAUAUAUCGGAACGUGCCCAGUAGUGGGGGAUAGCCCGGCGAAAGCCGGAUUAAUACCGCAUACGACCUACGGGUGAAAGGGGGGGAUCGCAAGACCUCUAGCUAUUGGAGCGGCCGAUAUCAGAUUAGGUAGUUGGUGGGGUAAAGGCCUACCAAGGCAACGAUCUGUAGUUGGUCUGAGAGGACGACCAGCCGCACUGGGACUGAGACACGGCCCAGACUCCUACGGGAGGCAGCAGUGGGGAAUUUUGGACAAUGGGCGCAAGCCUGAUCCAGCAAUGCCGCGUGCAGGAAGAAGGCCUUCGGGUUGUAAACUGCUUUUGUCAGGGAAGAAAUCCUCUAGGUUAAUACCCUUGGGGGGAUGACGGUACCUGAAGAAUAAGCACCGGCUAACUACGUGCCAGCAGCCGCAGUAACAC